AUUUUAUGGUGUUUGUAGGAAUUAUUUCUAGAAUAAUGCCGUUUCACAGCUAUAACUCAAACUAGGUUUUACUCUAUUGGUUUAACUGCAGCAUGUCUAAAAUUUAGAGGUUUUUAUAGCACUCAAUCCCACAUAAUGAUGGUUAAAAGCCUUGGAGAAAAUUCAAUUAUAGUAGAGGAGAGUUUUGUACUGUUUUUCUUCUCCUUCUCAAAAAUGUGCUUCGUUUGAAGACCUGCUAAGUAAAUAGCCAUUUCCAAAUUUCCAGUCCCAGCAUCUAUAAAAAUAGAGUCAAUCACUAACCCAGAAAUGCUAGAGGGACAUGUGGAUUAUUAAAUAUGGUAUAGGAACAUUUUUUUAAGAGAAACUCAUUCUGUAAGAGUAAUUCUUGCUCAGACAACAUAUAUCCUGGUCCUGAUAAAAUUCUAAAUGUAUCACAUAGUGAAAUAAUUACAUAAAUUUCUAUGAAUAUAUGUGACAUCAGAAAGAAUGCAAGAGGGCCCAAUAAUGCUGAGGGCUACUGAUCUCACCUCUCAUCUGAGAGAAACUAGAAAAGGGAACCCAGGGAGAGGAGGCGGCCUUCAGGAGGCUGGUACACUGGGACAUCUGGCUACCAAGGACAGCUCCACCCUGGCAGCUGGGUAAAGGGGCACCUGCUGUCUCUACUGCAAGGGAGGAGUGUAACCUGCUGCAGGUGGUUUAGCAUCCUCCUCCUUCCUCUCCACCUCCUCCUACUUAAUGAAGGCCAUUCUUUCAGGCCACUUGGGAGAGGGACCUUAUAGGGAGAGGAAUAAUACCUGUUUGGUCUAAGAAAAUAAUGUCUAAAGAAAUCGUGUGGCUCACACAGAAUCAGACAGCUAAUUCACAUGGAGCCACUUAGAACUCAGUCUCCUGGAUCCUGUUCCCAGCACCUCCCACUACACCAAGGCCAGGGCACGUCUUCUCUCCGGGGAUGGACAUCUCUGAUCAGAAAUUUCUGUCUUUGGAUAUUUCAACCGGCAAGAACCACAGAGGAACUUGGCCACCACGUCUAAAGGGUGACAAAUGGGCUCUGGGGAUGGGUGUGUGCUCACUCGAGGAACUGGUCGUCUUCAUCGAUUCGGCUAAGAAGCAAGUUCGGGCGAGUUGUGUCUCUUUAUGUCUGUAUGGAGCCUUGUCAAUAUUCAUGCAUUAUGCAUCACAGCUGUUUGCA
rnacentral:lncRNA from 1 species